ACAGCAGUCGCCGCGGGAAUACGGAGGAUCCAAGCGUUAUCCGGAAUCAUUGGGUUUAAAGGGUCCGUAGGCGGUCUUGUAAGUCAGUGGUGAAAGCCCAUCGCUCAACGGUGGAACGGCCAUUGAUACUGCAGGACUUGAAUUAUUGGGAAGUAACUAGAAUAUGUAGUGUAGCGGUGAAAUGCUUAGAGAUUACAUGGAAUACCAAUUGCGAAGGCAGGUUACUACCAAUUGAUUGACGCUGAUGGACGAAAGCGUGGGUAGCGAACAGGAUUAGAUACCCCUGUAGUCCCUGUCUCUUAUAU
rnacentral:rRNA from 1 species